AUGCCAUCUGGGUGCCUCCAGGUGCCAUCAGACAGCAUUUCUCAGCCCUCAGUGCCAUCUGGGCGCCUCCAGGUGCCAUCUGGGCUCCAUCAGAUGCCAUUUCAUGGCCCCCGGUGCCAUCUGGGCGCCUCCAGGUGCCAUCUGGGUUCCAUCAGAUGCCAUUUCUUGGCCAUCAACGCCAUCCAGGUGCCAUCAGACAGCAUUUCUCAGCCCUCAGUGCCAUCCGGGCGCCUCCAGGUGCCAUCUGAGUUCCAUCAGACGCCAUUUCUUGACC